rnacentral:rRNA from 1 species
GGCGAAAGGGAGAGUAAUACGUAGGUACCUGCCCUCGGGUCUGGGAUAGCUGCGGGAAACUGCAAUUAAUACCGGAUGACGUCUCUGGACCAAAGGUGUGAUUCCGCCAGAGGAUGGGCCUGCGUCCUAUCAGCUAGUUGGUGUGGUAAUGGCGCACCAAGGCUAAGACGGGUACGGGGUGUGAGAGCAUGCCCCCGCUCACUGGGACUGAGAUACUGCCCAGACACCUACGGGUGGCUGCAGUCGAGAAUCUUCCGCAAUGGGCGAAAGCCUGACGGAGCGACGCCGCGUGUGGGAUGAAGGCCUUCGGGUUGUAAACCACUGUCAGUGGGGAGCAAAUGCAUCAGGGUUCUCCCUGGUGUUUGAGCGAUCCGCAGAGGAAGCACAGGCUAAUUCCGUGCCAGCAGCCGCGGUAAUACGGAAUGUGCAAACGUUAUUCGGAAUCACUGGGCUUAAAGAGUCCGUAGGCGGCUUGUUAGGUGAGGUGUGAAAUCCCUCGGCCCAACCGAGGAAUUGCGCUUCAAACCGGCAAGCUUGAGGAGGAUAGAGGUGGGCGGAACUGAUGGUGGAGCGGUGAAAUGCGUUGAUAUCAUCAGGAACACCGGAGGCGAAGGCGGUCCACUGGGUCCUUUCUGACGCUGAGGGACGAAAGCUAGGGGAGCGAACGGGAUUAGAUACCCCGGUAGUCC